rnacentral:rRNA from 1 species
CCUACGGGUGGCUGCAGUGGGGAAUAUUGCACAAUGGGCGCAAGCCUGAUGCAGCCGUGCCGCGUGUGUGAAGAAGGCCUUCGGGUUGUAAAGCACUUUCAGCGGGGAGGAAGGCGGUGAGGUUAAUAACCUCAUCGAUUGACGUUACCCGCAGAAGAAGCACCGGCUAACUCCGUGCCAGCAGCCGCGGUGAUACGGAGGGUGCAAGCGUUAAUCGGAAUUACUGGGCGUAAAGCGCACGCAGGCGGUCUGUCAAGUCGGAUGUGAAAUCCCCGGGCUCAACCUGGGAACUGCAUUCGAAACUGGCAGGCUAGAGUCUUGUAGAGGGGGGUAGAAUUCCAGGUGUAGCGGUGAAAUGCGUAGAGAUCUGGAGGAAUACCGGUGGCGAAGGCGGCCCCCUGGACAAAGACUGACGCUCAGGUGCGAAAGCGUGGGGAGCAAACAGGAUUAGAUACCCUUGUAGUC